rnacentral:rRNA from 1 species
GAUGAACGCUGACAGAAUGCUUAACACAUGCAAGUCCACUUGAACUUCGGUUUGGGUGGCGGACGGGUGAGUAACGCGUAAAGAACUUGCCUCACAGAUAGGGACAACAUUAGGAAACGAAUGCUAAUACCUGAUAUUAUGAUUAUAUGGCAUCGUAUAAUUAUGAAAGCUAUAUGCGCUGUGAGAGAGCUUUGCGUCCCAUUAGCUAGUUGGAGAGGUAACGGCUCACCAAGGCGAUGAUGGGUAGCCGGCCUGAGAGGGUGAUCGGCCACAAGGGGACUGAGACACGGCCCUUACUCCUACGGGAGGCAGCAGUGGGGAAUAUUGGACAAUGGACCAAGAGUCUGAUCCAGCAAUUCUGUGUGCACGAUGAAGUUUUUCGGAAUGUAAAGUGCUUUCAGUUGGGAAGAAAAAAAUGACGGUACCAACAGAAGAAGUGACGGCUAAAUACGUG